rnacentral:rRNA from 1 species
AUUGAACGCUGACGGCAGGCCUAACACAUGCAAGUCGAGCGGAUGAAGGGAGCUUGCUCCUGGAUUCAGCGGCGGACGGGUGAGUAAUGCCUAGGAAUCUGCCUGGUAGUGGGGGAUAACGUCCGGAAACGGGCGCUAAUACCGCAUACGUCCUGAUGGAGAAAGUGGGGGAUCUUCGUACCUCACGCUAUCAGAUGAGCCUAGGUCGGAUUUGCUAGUUGGUGGGGUAAAGGCCUACCAAGGCGACGAUCCGUAACUGGUCUGAGAGGAUGAUCAGUCACACUGGAACUGAGAAACGGUCCAGACUCCGACGGGAGGCAGCAGUGGGGAAUAUUGGACAAUGGGCGAAAGCAUGAUCCAGCCAUGCCGCGUGUGUGAAGAAGGUCUUCGGAUUGUAAAGCACUUUAAGUUGGGAGGAAGGGAAGUAAGUUAAUACCUUGCUGUUUUGACGUUACCAACAGAAUAAGCACCGGCUAACUUCGUG